GUCAAGAAGAAGAAUACAAGAUGAUUGUCGAAAUUGUAAUUGUUUGAUUUUGCCAUUAAUUUAGAGAAAAGUACGCUUAAUUAAAAGCCGGAGAAUGUCGGAAGAAGCGGCCAGCACCUCGGCCUUUGGCUUUAAGAAGCGCAAUAUCAACAAAGGAGCUGGAAUGCGUCGCAAAAAGGAAAGCAGUAGCAGCAACGAAUCAGGUGAGCAAAUAUUGUACCGCCAAAAAGUGAUAUACAUAGGGAAUAUAUUUAAACGAAAUCCAGCAAAAAGCAGCGAUGAGGAGUUAAAAGGCAAAGCCAGUGCCUUAGUGCGAGCCGAAAACCGCAGGAAGCGCACGAAUCCCAACUUUCAGAGCACCAAGACAUUGAGCAAGGCGAAGCGCCAGGCAGGAGCACACGAUGAGGAAGCAACAUCCUCGGCCUCCGAUGAUGAUAAGCUGGGCAUUGCCUACAAAUCCAAGCGCGAGGGGCUGCCCAGUGGGCCGCAGGAUCAGGGUGCCACGUCCGUCAACGAAAUGGACACCGAACUGGACCGCGACGCCCAGGCAAUCCAUGCUCGUGCCCUAAAAAUCAACGAGGAACUGGAGGGCAAGGCGGACGAUAAGAUAUACCGCGGAAUCAAUAACUAUGCCCAGUACUACAAAAAACAGGAUACGGCGGCGGGAAACGCCAGCUCCGGAAUGGUGCGAAGUGGUCCCAUUAGGGCACCCGCCCAUCUCAGAGCCACUGUGAGGUGGGAUUACCAACCGGACAUUUGCAAGGAUUACAAGGAAACGGGUUACUGUGGCUUCGGUGACAGUUGCAAAUUUUUGCAUGAUCGCAGUGAUUACAAAGCCGGAUGGCAAAUGGAAAUGGACCACGAGAAUCAGCGGAGGGGAGAUGGUGACUCCGAUGGCGAUGAUGGCAAGUACGAGAUUCACUCGGACGAGGAGUCGCUGCCUUUUAAGUGCCACAUCUGCCGACAGAGCUUUGUCAAUCCCGUGGUUACCAAAUGCAAACACUAUUUCUGUGAAAAGUGCGCCCUGGCCCAGUACAAAAAGUCACAGCGCUGCAUUGUCUGCUCCCAGCAAACUAGUGGCAUUUUCAACCCCGCCAAGGAUCUGAUUGCUCGCCUUAAGACGAAUCCAAUGGAGAAUUCGGAUAGCGAUGAGGAAGAGCUCGGAGCAAAGGACGAGAAGGGCGAAGAGGAGCCGGAGGCUCAAGAAAUUUCCUCUGACGAGAGUGAUUAAAUUAAAUUCAAAUUCAGCGCGUGCAGUUUUAUAGCCAUCAGUUUGCGAGCGGCAAACCAAUUUUUCAGGGGUCAACAAUUUGUUGAGCAGUUCGCUACUGUUAUCUACUACGAAAACUUUCACAGUUUUGAUGGAUUGCACAGAAAAUUGAAAUGUGCUCGAGGGCAACGGAAACUCCCCGAACGGCCCAAAAAAAAGCGAUCAAAAUCAGCAGCCAAGGCAAGUAAUAAAAACUUUUUGCGAAAGCCCUGCAUUAAGAAUAUAACAAGCUAAAGGUUUUCUGUGUCAUCUGUGCAACUUGAACUUGAAAUCGAACUGGUUGAAAGUUGAGCGAGCAUAAAAGGCAAAACGCAAAUCAAAGACCACCAGCCCGAUGCAGAAGCCACAAGCGGGCGGUAGCUGUGGAAACAUCGUGCUACGCCAGUAGGAUAUUUGCCUAAUGCAGCUGCCAACAUUGUCAACUAAAACUCGAUGCUAACAAGCAGAAAAUGGCAGGCAACUACAUACCAACUUGAGCUCGUAAAACUGCCGCCCAAGGAUAACUUUUUAACAACCCGCUCGUAGGGAGCCUGAACCUUCCUGCCUAACUACUACUACUACAGCCGAGCAGAUUGAGCCUGGCUGACUCUGGAUCGGGCAAUUGGAUUUUUACGAGGCUGGCUAACGAGUUUCAGUUGCAGUUUGCAGGGUGAACAAAUAAAUACAACGUGGCGUAUGGGCCGUAUGACUGGCAAAGCGGAGGCAAUCACCAGUGGGGCCACGUACACCGGGGCGUAUGCGCAACCCGGACCACUCCUUAGUGGCCCCAACGCAGGCAAUGUGUGUGGGCUAAUCUGCCAUCACUCAG